rnacentral:rRNA from 1 species
CUCCUACGGGGCGCAGCAGUGGGGAAUAUUGCACAAUGGGGGAAACCCUGAUGCAGCGACGCCGCGUGAGUGAGGAAGUAUUUCGGUAUGUAAAGCUCUAUCAGCAGGGAAGAAAAUGACGGUACCUGACUAAGAAGCCCCGGCUAACUACGUGCCAGCAGCCGCGGUAAUACGUAGGGGGCAAGCGUUAUCCGGAUUUAUUGGGUUUAAAGGGUGCGCAGGCGGAUUUUUAAGUCAGCGGUCAAAUCGUGGGGCUCAACCCCAUCCAGCCGUUGAAACUGGGGAUCUAGAGUGUGCGAGAGGUA